CAUCUUUGUUGUGGGCAAAGCGCGCCAACCGCAGGUAGUAAUUCUUUGGGUCCGGGUUACACUUAUUGGAGUCCGUGGUCUUUAGGAAUCUCGUGUUUACAAGGUAAACCUUCAGAAGCUAGUUAAAUAACUAGUUCUCAGGACUGUCUGCAUCAAAAUGAGGAUUGUGUGAGGCCUUAGAAUCUGCCUAUUUCGCCAGUUCUGAGAGUGAUUCGUAAACGUUACGCUCCAAUUUUGAUGACUUUUUAAGCCCUUUAACUAUGUCUUCCUUAGAAGUGACCCCUACCCUGAAUGGGUCCACUAAUCCUUCAAGAUGAGAAUCACGGGUAGAUAGACGUUAGGUUUCACAGUAGUUAGCCGACUUGUUUUGUUUCCAAGGACUACCUGCAUCUAAAUACCUAACUACUAACUUUCCAGAGGAAAAUCAGCACCGUGCUCAUCGCCAGCGGGACUGACUGAAGCCAAAUCACGGAAUAGUUUGUAUUCCUCGAUUUUAACAAACAGUCGAACAAAGACAAACGCAUGAGUUAUAAAUUUCACAUUUGAGAUCAAGGUCUAUAUCUCACUCAUCUGGAUAUCUUCAUGGAGCUAACCAUAUUGACAGGUUGUAGGUCUUGAGUAUAAAGUAAUGAGAUCUAUUUUCUUGUUUGACUUGUAAAUUAAAAGUAAAGAUAAUUCCAAAGCAAUAGUUCUAAAAAUGUUUUGAGCAGUGUCAGCAUUUUUAGUAACGCUGUAGAGCCUCUAAAAACCUAGAGAAGGUCAUAUUUUUCUGAAUGUUUACAUUGACCCUGAUUAUUCAGAAUUAGUUACUUUUCCUCAUGUGUUUGAUUGUCUCUUGGUUUCCAGUAGGCAGAGCUGGGAUUACGAUGAGGUGAAUUAGGCACCCUUAGUUCUCCACCAGUGUGCCCUGCCAAUAAGUUGCAACGAAUUCCUUAGAGACGAUCAAGAUUUUUUUUUCUAAACAGGCUUUUAAGUAGAGAAAAUGAGCUCAAACACAGCAUUUAUUAUUCUACUUGUCAGCAGUAAAAAUAAGUUUAUUAAAAUGGAUUUCAACUCAAAUGGAUUUUUCAAUUCAAAAUGUUUUCAAAUUAGAUUUUUUGAGCCCAAUUAUGAGAAGGUUUCUUAAUAUUUAUUUGAGCAACAACUUUCUUGGUUUUCUUGGAAUUAUUAUUUAGCACCUCCAUUCAUGCUGUUUUUUCGUUUGAUUAUAUCUUUAUUGUCAUUUAACACAGCCUGAAGUUUCCUUACCUAUAAGAUUUCAUAUUUUGUAUAAUAAAGGCAUUCAUCUUUACCAAUUCUGUACCUUUGAAAUUUUAUAUUUUUCCUUGAAUGACGAGUAUUUACAUUAUAACUGAGAAAAAGUUAUCAAAAUAUAUGACCCAUAAUUUCUGUAAUCUAUACAUUUUCCAUUUGAUUUGUAAAAACCCCUUAAAUACCUCAAUAGAAAAUGAGUAAAGAUAUGACUAGGGGUUUCACAGGAAAAAAAAAA